rnacentral:rRNA from 1 species
GACGAACGCUGGCGGCGUGCUUAACACAUGCAAGUCGAACGGAAAGGCCCUGCUUUUGUGGGGUGCUCGAGUGGCGAACGGGUGAGUAACACGUGAGUAACCUGCCCUUGACUUUGGGAUAACUUCAGGAAACUGGGGCUAAUACCGGAUAGGAGCUCCUGCUGCAUGGUGGGGGUUGGAAAGUUUCGGCGGUUGGGGAUGGACUCGCGGCUUAUCAGCUUGUUGGUGGGGUAGUGGCUUACCAAGGCUUUGACGGGUAGCCGGCCUGAGAGGGUGACCGGCCACAUUGGGACUGAGAUACCGCCCAGACUCCUACGGGAGGCAGCAGUGGGGAAUAUUGCACAAUGGGCGGAAGCCUGAUGCAGCCACGCCGCGUGCGGGAUGACGGCCUGCGGGUUGUAAACCGCUUUCGCCUGUGACGAAGCGUGAGUGACGGUAAUGGGUAAAGAAGCACCGGCUAACUACGUG